UGUAAGGUAGUUUAGAAUAACUGUAGUAUUUGGAUCUACAAGCGGUAAUUGAUUUUACUUCUUACAG
rnacentral:tRNA from 1 species